rnacentral:rRNA from 1 species
GAUGAACGCUGGCGGCGUGCCUAAUACAUGCAAGUCGAGCGAACAGAUGAGGAGCUUGCUCCUCUGACGUUAGCGGCGGACGGGUGAGUAACACGUGGAUAACCUACCUAUAAGACUGGGAUAACUUCGGGAAACCGGAGCUAAUACCGGAUAAUAUAUUGAACCGCAUGGUUCAAUAGUGAAAGACGGUUUUGCUGUCACUUAUAGAUGGAUCCGCGCCGCAUUAGCUAGUUGGUAAGGUAACGGCUUACCAAGGCGACGAUGCGUAGCCGACCUGAGAGGCUGAUAGGCCACACUGGAACUGAGACACGGUCCAGACUCCUAAGGGAGGCAGCAGUAGGGAAUCUUCCGCAAUGGGCGAAAGCCUGACGGAGCAACGCCGCGUGAGUGAUGAAGGUCUUCGGAUCGUAAAACUCUGUUAUUAGGGAAGAACAAAUGUGUAAGUAACUAUGCACGUCUUGACGGUACCUAAUCAGAAAGCCACGGCUAACUACGUG